rnacentral:rRNA from 1 species
AGGGUUCGAUUCUGGCUCAGGAUGAACGCUGGCGGCGUGCCUAACACAUUCAAGUCGAACGAACUGUAGAAAUACAGUGAGUGGCGGACGGGUGAGUAACGCGUAAGCAAUCUGCCUUUGUGUGUGGAAUAACAACCGGAAACAGUUGCUAAUACCGCAUAACGCAGAGAGAUCGCAUGGUCUUUCUGCCAAAGAUUUAUCGCACAAAGAUGGGCUUGCGUCCGAUUAGAUAGUUGGCGGGGUAACGGCCCACCAAGUCAACGAUCGGUAGCCGGACUGAGAGGUUGAACGGCCACAUUGGAACUGAGAUACGGUCCAGACUCCUACGGGAGGCAGCAGUGGGGAAUAUUGGGCAAUGGACGAAAGUCUGAACCCCAGCGACGCCGCGUGAGGGAAGAAGGUCUUCGGAUUGUAAACCUUAGUCAACAGGGACGAAGCAAGUGACGGUACCUGUGGAGGAAGCCACGGCUAACUACGUGCCAGCCGCUGC